GCCUGGUGCUGAGUCCCGGCUCCAGGUAAGGCGACGGCUGUGGGCUGCUGGAGGGAGGUGCAGUGGCGAGGGUCAGCGGACCCGAUGGUGGUGGUCCAGAG